rnacentral:rRNA from 1 species
CAGCAGCCGCGGGAAUACGUAGGGUCCGAGCGUUGUCCGGAAUUAUUGGGCGUAAAGGGCUCGUAGGCGGUUUGUCGCGUCGGGAGUGAAAACCAGCAGCUUAACUGCUGGCCUGCUUUCGAUACGGGCAGACUUGAGGCAUUCAGGGGAGAACGGAAUUCCUGGUGUAGCGGUGAAAUGCGCAGAUAUCAGGAGGAACACCGGUGGCGAAGGCGGUUCUCUGGGAAUGUUCUGACGCUGAGGAGCGAAAGUGUGGGGAGCGAACAGGAUUAGAUACCCCUGUAGUCCCUGUCUCUUAUAC